UGUGGUGUUAUGUCCAACACUCUUCAAAAAUAUUAUAGCAAGAAGAUCACUAAUACACUAUGUAAUUCCCUGGACACAGAUAAAGUCGGUGUAACAUGCUUUCAUCUUAUUAGUGCUACGGUUUGCUGUUUCAUUGCAACCAUUAUUUUUGCAGUCGACGCAAACUUAAACUAUCAUUUAUUCAAAAGUAGAACUUGUACGACGACGCCAGUGACAUUAAUUAUAUAAUCAGUUGAAACUGUAGUUAUUUUUCUCACCGAUUUUACUUAUAACUGUACUUCUGUUAAAUAAAUGAAGCAAACAAACAGAGUUUCAACUGACUAUUUAACUAAGGUCCCUAUUAUCAUAGAUAAACUGAAAAUGUACAGUAUUAUUUGGUAAAAGUAACAAGGGUGGCCGAAGAUUGAUAAUUGGUUCGGAGGGGUAAUAUUUUUAUAAUACACGUUCUACUUUAUUAAUUUCUAUUGAAAUCAAUUGUGAUUACGUAAUAAACUUAUAACCUUAUAAACUAUGUUAUAUUCUAAGUAUAAAUUUUUUUGUAUGUAGCGUUUUGUAAAUAACUUUAAUGUGCAAAUUUAUAGUUGCUGUAAAUAGUCCAGCUGUUAACGACAAAAAAACACCUAACCCUUCACUUUGAUGAUACAAGUAUGAAA